GACGAACGCUGGCGGCGUGCUUAACACAUGCAAGUCGAGCGGUAAGGCCCCUUCGGGGGUACACGAGCGGCGAACGGGUGAGUAACACGUGAGCAAUCUGCCCUUCACACGGGGAUAACUCCGGGAAACCGAAGCUAAUACCCGAUACGACCACUUCAGGCAUCUGAUGGUGGUGGAAAGUUCCGGCGGUGAAGGAUGAGCUCGCGGCCCAUCAGCUUGUUGGUGGGGUAACGGCCGACCAAGGCAACGACGGGUAGCCGGCCUGAGAGGGUAAGCGGCCCACCUGAGACUGAGACACGGCCCAGAGUCCUACGGGGGGCAGCAGUGGGGAAUAUUGGACAAUGGGCGAAAGCCUGAUCCAGCAACGCCGCGUGAGGGAUGGCGGUCUUCGGGUUGUAAACCUCUUUCAGCAGGGACGAAGCGCAAGUGACGGUACCUGCAGAAGAAGCACCGGCCAACUACGUGCCAGCCGCCGCUGUAA
rnacentral:rRNA from 1 species